rnacentral:misc_RNA from 1 species
GAAGAAGAACGUAGCGAAAUGCGAUAAGUAAUGUGAAUUGCAGAAUUCAGUGAAUCAUCGAAUCUUUGAACGCACAUUGCGCCCGCCAGUAUUCUGGCGGGCAUGCCUGUUCGAGCGUCAUUUCAACCCUCAGGCCCCCAGUGCCUGGUGUUGGGGAUCGGCCCAGCCUUCCUGUAAGGCCGCCGGCCCCGAAAUCUAGUGGCGGUCUCGCUGUAGUCCUCCUCUGUGUAGUAGCACAACCUCGCAGUUGGAACGCGGCGGUGGCCAUGCCGUUAAACACCCCACUUCUGUAAGUUGACCUCGGAUCGGGUAGGAAUACCCGCUGAACUUAAGCAUAUCAAUAAGCGGAGGA